rnacentral:lncRNA from 1 species
GCGGCCUCGAAGCAGGUCCCAGGCGUGUGCAUUUAUAUGCAGAGUGACCAAGAAACUUCAGUAAUACUAGUUUGUGUCUUUGGAGUCCCACUUUUUGCCAGGGCUAGUGCUAACAGCUUCAGGAGAAUUCAGCCUCACCUUGACAGGACAUGCUCUGGAGUCAGAAGACAGCGAAAAGAGAAGCAGAAGCCCCGGUGGCAAGAGUCUGAAGCAAGAAGGAUGACUGUUGCCUGUGGAUUGUACUGCAGUAGGAAACUGUCCUAGCAAGGCUCCACCUUGCCCCAGCUUCAAGCUGGAAAGGAGGAGAACAUGAAACAUUGCUUGAAGACAAUGGCCGAGACAGCAGGUCCCACCCUGCACAGCCACCAGCAUCUCUCCCCUCAGCCCUGUCUCCUCUUCUGCA